AGUGAACGCUGGCGGUAGGCCUAACACAUGCAAGUCGAACGGCAGCACAGUAAGAGCUUGCUCUUACGGGUGGCGAGUGGCGGACGGGUGAGGAAUACAUCGGAAUCUACUUUUUCGUGGGGGAUAACGUAGGGAAACUUACGCUAAUACCGCAUACGACCUACGGGUGAAAGCAGGGGAUCUUCGGACCUUGCGCGAUUGAAUGAGCCGAUGCCGGAUUAGCUAGUUGGCGGGGUAAAGGCCCACCAAGGCGACGAUCCGUAGCUGGUCUGAGAGGAUGAUCGGCCACACUGGAACUGAGACACGGUCCAGACUCCUACGGGAGGCAGCAGUGGGGAAUAUUGGACAAUGGGCGCAAGCCUGAUCCAGCCAUACCGCGUGGGUGAAGAAGGCCUUCGGGUCGUAAAGCCCUUUUGUUGGGAAAGAAAAGCAGCAGGUUAAUACCCCGCUGUUCUGACGGUACCCAAAGAAUAAGCACCGGCUAACUUCGUG
rnacentral:rRNA from 1 species